CCCCCCUUCGAAGAAGAGGGGGUAUAUUGCUUUGCUCAUGUCGGUCUGUCGGUCUGUCGGUCCGUCCACCAGGUGGUUGUCAGACGAUAACUCAAGAACGCUUGGGCCUAGGAUCAUGAAACUUCAUAGGUACAUUGAUCAUGACUCGCAGAUGACCCCUAUAGAUUUUGAGGUCACUAGGUCAAAGGUCAAGGUCACGGUGACCAGAAAUAGUAAAAUGGUUUUUGAAUAAUAACUCAAGAACGCAUACGCCUAGGAUCAUGAAACUUCAUGGGUAGAUUGAUCAUGACUUGCAGAUGACCCCUAUUGAUUUUGAGGUCACUAGGUCAAAGGUCAAGGUCACGGUGACCCGAAAUAGUAAAAUGGUUUCCGGAUGAUAACUCAAGAACGCAUACGCCUAGGAUCAUGAAACUUCAUAGGUAGAUUGAUCAUGACUUGCAGAUGACCCCUAUUGAUUUUGAGGUCACAAGGUCAAAGGUCAAGGUCAUGGUGACCCGAAAUAGUAAAAUGAUUUUCGGAUGAUAACUCAAGAACGGUUUUGCCUAGGAUCAUGACACUUCAUAGGUACAUUGAUUGUGACUAGCAGAUGACCCCUAUUGAUUUUCAGGUCGCUAGGUCAAAGGUCAAGGUCACAGUGACAAAAAUGGUAUUCACACAAUGGCUGCCACUACAACGGACAGCCCAUAUGGGGGGCAUGCAUGUUUUACAAACAGCCCUUGUUUGUA